GGAAUGUGGCUUAGUGGUAAAGCACUUAUUUGGCAUGCAUGAGGCCCUGGGUUCAGUCCCUAGCACCA
rnacentral:tRNA from 1 species